rnacentral:rRNA from 1 species
GAAGAGAGAGUUCAAGAGUACGUGAAACCGUCUGGGAGUAAACGGGUGGUUCCCGAAAGUACGAAAGGGGAGAUUCAGGUCUCGCUGCGCGUCGGGCGGCGUCCGCGAUCAGGGAUGGUGUUCUCGCGGCCGGGGGGCGACCCUCGGUCCGGGANNNGCUCCACUCCGCGGGCGCCGUGUCUUGCUCCCGACGCCGGAGUGACGCACUUCUCCCCCAGUAGAACGUCGCGACCCGUCGGGCGCCGGCCUAAGGUCCCGGGUGGAGUCUGUGCGGCCCUCGAAACCGCGCACGACCCCGGGGAUCCCGGCCGGGUGCUCGACGGUACGAAGAGAGGAAGGAGUCGACGCGCCGAAUCCAUCGGCGUCCGGCCCUCCGCAAGCGCCCGCGGGAGUCCGAGACUCCGGGCCCGGCCCGGUCUCGGUCCCUCCGCGGGGCUGUUUGCGAUCAGGAGGUGUCCUCGGAC